CCUUCGGGAGCUUUUAUACAGGUGCUGCACGGCUGUCGUCAGCUCGUGUCGUGAGAUGUUGGGUUAAGUCCCGCAACGAGCGCAACCCUCGUCACUAGUUACUAACGGUUCGGCCGAGGACUCUAGUGAGACUGCCUUCGUAAGGAGGAGGAAGGUGAGGACGACGUCAAGUCAUCAUGGCCCUUACGGCUAGGGCAACACACGUGCUACAAUGGCCAGGACAGUGAGACGCGAUACCGCGAGGUGGAGCAAAUCUAUAAACCUGGUCUCAGUUCGGAUUGUAGUCUGCAACUCGACUACAUGAAGCUGGAAUCACUAGUAAUCGUAGAUCAGCUAUGCUACGGCGAAUACGUUCCCGGGUCUUGUACUCACCGCCCGUCACACCAUGGGAGUUGAUUUCACCCGAAGCGGGGAAGCUAAACUGGCUACCCUCCACGGUGGAAUCAGCGACUGGGGUGAAGUCGUAACAAGGUA
rnacentral:rRNA from 1 species